GAUGAACGCUGGCGGCAUGCCUAACACAUGCAAGUCGGACGGGAAGAGGUGUUUCGCGUGGCGGAUGGGCGAGUAACGGGUAAGAAAUUCCUAUUGGGCGGGGAACAACAACUGGAAAAGGUUGCUAAUCGCCCGCUGGUUGAGGAGAAAAAGGAGGAAUCCGACCGAGGGGGGGUUGGAUAUUGCUUAGCUAGUUGGUGCGGUAAUAGCUUACCUAGGUGAUGGUCAGUAGGUGGUCCGAGGGGAUGAUCGGCCACACUGCGACUGAGACACGCACCAGACACCUACGGGAGGCAGCAGUAAGGAAGUUUCCGCAAUGGGCGAAAUCCUGACAAGGCAAUGCCGCGGGAAAGUAGAAGGCCUUGGGGUCAUGGACUUCUUUUCUCGAAGAAGAAACAUUGACGGUAUCUAAAGAAUAAGCACCGGCUAACUCUGUG
rnacentral:rRNA from 1 species